rnacentral:ncRNA from 1 species
UGAAGCAUCUCAUAAGCGGAGGAAAAGAAACUAACUAGGAUUCCCUUAGUAAAGGCGAUCGAAAAGGGAACAGCCCAACGUCUUAAUCCCGCAAGGGAAAUGUAGUCGGUUCACUAUUGCACUGGUCUAAGUCAGAUGGAAUGCUGCGCGAUUCAGAGUAAAAGCCUCGUAUGACCAACCGCAAGCUUACGAUGGACCGGGGAGAGUCGGAUACUUUGAGAGUAGUGUCUUAAGGGGGUGGUAUGUCCCAUCCAAGGCUAAAUAACGUGAGGAGACCGAUAGAUUACAAGUAGUGUGAACGAAAGAUGAAAAGAACUCUAAAACAGAGGGUGAAAAGUUCCUGAACUUGCUUAGGGUUAAGGCUAUUUAUAGUACCCGUCUUGAAACACGGAUUAGGGAGUUUAUCUGUAGUGCGAGUCUUUGCACGUUAACUGUAAAGGCGUAGAGAAAGCAACUGGCGUUUGCAUGGCUACUGAGCAUUACUGAUAGGACCCGAAAGGUGGUGAACUUUGCCUGCACAGGUUGAAGUCAGGGGAAACUCUGAUGGAGGACCGUACGGGUUAUUGAUGUGCAAAUCAUUUUUCUGAUGUAGGUAAAGGUGCGAAAGACUCAUCGAACCACCUAAUAGCUGGUUUCCUCCGAAGUUUCCCUCAGGAUAGCUGUAAUGCAUUUAGUUAAGGGGAGUAGAGAUAUGGGUAGAGGUGCAGGGAGCCUUCGGGUUCUCAACUUAUUUCCAAACUUCGAACCUCCUUGUUAGGCAUUUACCUAACUGGAAAUGCUUAAAUGAAUUAGCGUUACAAGUGGGCUCUGACCGGUAAGCGGUCAUGGCGAAAUGGGAUGAACCAUACGUCUGAAUAAGGUGCCGAAAUGUACUAUCACUGAUACCAUAAAGGGAGUCCAUGUAUUUAGACAGCAGGUCGGUGCCCCUAAAAGCAGGUAUCCGCUAAAGAGUGUGUUAAAACUCACCUGCCGAAUACUAGGGCCCCGAAAAUGAAUGGCGCAUAUAGUACUACCGAUCUCAGACAUCAGUUCUAUUGAACUGAGAGUAGGGGGAUGUGGACAUUUUUGUGAAGGUGCAAUGUGAGUUGGACUGGAAGAAUGUCUAUUACAGAUCCUAAUUGAAGUAGCGA